CUCACUGGAUUAAUGCAGUUAGCUCUGCUCUCAUUAUGCAUUGUUUGCUUUGGAUGCAGUGGAGUUCGGGUGUACUGGAAUAAUUCUAGGCAUGAAAGAAGGAAGUUUAAACUGAUUGGGUGAAUACUUUCUACUGUUUUGAAGAACUAAAGAAUUUCAGAUGGUGACAAGGAGAAGGCAUACAGGAGCAAGGUUACCAGACUCCAUUUGUGAUGCAACAUGCCAGGAAUUCUUUCAUCGUCAACUUCAGCACCUUCAAUUCAGAACAAUUUUCUGCAUGGGCCUGGCCUGACAAACUAGCCCUGACUUAACUCCAUCCUGGACAGUCCCAAGUCCAGCUACAAAGGAAGCAGGAUUGGACAUAGGGCUAGCAACACCAUCCUGUUAAAAACCCAAAGCUACAGAACUGGCAACAGAAGCUCCAAAGAUCUCAUGCCUGGGAGAGGAAGGAUAUUCAAACAAGGGCUAUGUUGUGUAUUUAAUAUUUCAGUAAUAUAUGAGUAACAUUGCAAAUGUAUUAUUUGACUAAGCAUUCUUUGUUGUUGAAAUAUUUCAUUAUGGGUUAUAUGUAAAAGUAUGUGCAGAGCAUACAUCAUCAGAAUGCUAUGUCAUA